CCUACGGGAGGCAGCAGUGAGGAAUAUUGGGCAAUGGGCGCGAGCCUGAACCAGCCAAGCAGCGUGAAUGAUGACUGUCCUACGGGUUGAAAGCUUCGUUUUUGAAGGUAUAAAGUGAGACAGUACUCCCUUUUUGAAUGUACUUUAUGAAUGUGGAUGGGGGAACUCUGUGCCAGAAGCCGCGGUAAUACGGAGGAUCCGCGCGUUAUACGGAUUUAUUGGGUGUAAAGGGAGCGUAGAGGGGUGAUUAAGUCAGUUGUGAAAGUUGGCGGCUCAACCGUAAAAUUGCAAUUGAUACUGGCAGUCUUGAGUACAGUUGAGGUAGGCGGAAUUCGUGGUGUAGCGGUGGAAUGCUUAGAUAUCACGAAGAACUCCGAGUGCGAAGGCAGCUUACUAAACUGCCACUGACAUUGAUGCUCGAAAGUGUGGGUAGCAAACAGGAUUAGAUACCCCAGUAGUC
rnacentral:rRNA from 1 species